rnacentral:rRNA from 1 species
GUGAGGAAUUUUCCGCAAUGGGCGAAAGCCUGACGGAGCAAUGCCGCGUGAAGGAUGAAGGCCUAUGGGUUGUAAACUUCUUUUCUCAGAAAAGAAUUAUGACGGUAUCUGAGGAAUAAGCAUCGGCUAACUCUGUGCCAGCAGCCGCGGUAAGACAGAGGAUGCAAGCGUUAUCCGGAAUGAUUGGGCGUAAAGCGUCUGUAGGUUGUUUAAAAAGUAUUCUGUCAAAGAUUAGGGCUUAACCCUAGAUAGGCAGAAUAAACUUUUAAGCUAGAGUUUGGUAGAGGCAGAGGGAAUUCCCUGUGGAGCGGUGAAAUGCGUAGAUAUCGGGAGGAACACCAAAGGCGAAGGCACUCUGCUGGGCCAAUACUAACACUGAGAGACGAAAGCGAGGGGAGCAAAUGGGAUUAGAUACCCGGGUAGUCC